GUCCAGAUACACACAAAGAACCUACAAAAAGCAUGAAAUUAGGAGAAACAGAAUCAUUACUCUUUAGAAAUAGUGGGUCCAUGGUUUAUAAAUGUAAAAGUAGAGUGUUAGAACUAGGGCUUAUCCAUGCAGUCAAGCCUUUGAUGUUACACUUGAGGAAACUGCACUCAGAGAUGAAGGGACAGGGUGAAGUUGAUAGGCAGCCAAGUGAGGACUUGAACAUAUGCUUCUUUUUUUGGGUAAGAUAAUGGAGAACACAAGAAUUGAGUAUUGACUUUGCUGACUUUAUCAUUCAUUUGGGACAUAUCUAUUCAGAAGAACCACAUAACAAGAACCACAAUAAAAAUAUCAAUUCUUUCUCAACUCUCAUUGGCUUCCAAAAAAUGCAAAGUCAAACUUGUAUUUUAAGAUGUUAUCUUCCAUUUAAACAUUCUUUCUCCUUUUCAUUUUAUUGUUUUCAUAUAGUUUAAAUCUUUGCAGAAGGUUCUUUGAAUUUCUGGCAGCCAAAACCAGCUGUGUUUGCUAGUGAGGGUGGAGAUAGAAACAAUAUUUACUAGCAAACCCAAGAUGAGACUUGAGAGGGAAACAUAUCAAUUGGCAGUAAUGGAAAGAAGAGGAUUUGCUAAUGUAGAACUGUUUUGGAACUCUGACACUUAUUUUACCCUUGACCAAGGAGGUCCAAAUUCACAUAUUGUAAGAGGGGAGGGACCAUUUUGUGUUCAUUUCUAAUGAAGGACUAAAAAGAGGCACAGGGAGGAAUGCCUACACUUGUGCUUAAAUUGAGGCAUCAAUAGUUAUCUAUUCUUUUCCAUGCACAGUGGGAAAUGCAUUGGCACUGAAGUCAGAGAAAACCGAACUCAACUCCUGUGUCCUCCACUUGCAGAUAAUUUUCUAUUUCAUAGUUUCCUCAUCUAUAAAGUGAAGAACUCCUGGUAAUCUGCCAAGGAUAAUGACGUUUGCCACUUUUGAUCAAUGCUCUCCUAUAGAACAACUUGUUCAGACUCUCGCCAGGAAAAGAAAAAACUUAUUAAACGGAUUACAACACAUUUGUUGUAUGUCGAGUACCAAACUGAGCUGAGAUCAGACAGUGUGAUAAUGUCAUGAUUCAUCUUUUAACUCAGAAAUAAAGAAUACUCAAAUACA